ensembl:lncRNA
GGAGGAGGAGGAGGUAAAGGUGACCCAGGCACGCACAUCCCUGCCUGACUUCCCUAAACCAUUAGAGCAGCUGGACCCAUCAGACCCCUCGGACCCCACUUACGUCUGAGUCAAAACUAACAAACUUUCCUUUUUUUUUGCAUAAAAAAAAAAGUCAAUAACGCUCCUUUUUUUUACGCUGUAUUAUAGUUUUUUUUGUACUUUUGAUUGACACAUUUAAAAAAAGUUCUAAUUUUGUUUUGACGUCCAAGUUGAGACUACCUCACAACUUUAGAAAAAAAAAAGUUGGAAAAAAAACCAGAGCGCUGUUUUAUCUUCAGUGAGCUGGAGGAACUGGAAGAGCACUGGAGGAGAUCGGCUGUACAGGAGGCCUGGAGACCAUGUAAAGCACUCGGCCAGCUCCUCUGAUCAACCAGGGCUGUGUACGUCUACCCACCGGGCGACUCAGACCUACACACCCCUUCUGUCCUGGACUACCACCACGAAGACCUGGCUGAUUCCUCCUUAACCUGAACCGCAGGGCCUGGUCCGAUAUGCGGGCCACACACCGCUUGGUUUCUCCAGGAGAGGGUUCGCACUCUCGGCGUCUCCAGCACUGGAAGGACGCGCGGUCCGGAUCUCACCUAAACGGCACGUCGUAAAAGCGGACAAUGC